rnacentral:tRNA from 1 species
GCCGCCGUAGCUCAGCGGGCAGAGCGCCGGCCUUGUACGAGCCGGUGGUCCCGGGUUCAAGUCCCGGCGGCGGCUCCA